rnacentral:misc_RNA from 1 species
AAGUCGUAACAAGGUCUCCGUUGGUGAACCAGCGGAGGGAUCAUUAUAGAGUUGCAAAACUCCCAAACCCAUGUGAACCUUACCUCUGUUGCCUCCGUGGAGCUGUGCCCCCCCGGGUGCCGGCCGCGGCAGGUCUACAAAACUAUUGUUAUUAAUGGUUAUCUGAGCGUCUUAUUAUAAAUAAGUCAAAACUUUCAACAACGGAUCUCUUGGUUCUG